rnacentral:lncRNA from 1 species
CUGACACCUGGCAGUUCUUGGGAAAUACCUGCACACGAAUGGAGGCAAGGCCUCUCUCCAGGGGAGGACGCUGAAGAGGUGAAAAGUGAGCCUCCUGCUCUCCCUUUGAGGCAAUUUGGCAUAGCCUGGGUUCUCAGAUCAGACGGAAGUGGGUUCAGUUCUCGGCUCGGAGCCACCUUAGACUGCUGGUUGAAAUACCUCUGGGCCUGUUCCUGCCUCUGGACAGUGGGAAGGUACUGAGACUACCUCUCAGGAUUGCCGCUACAGGAGGCGAGAGGGACACCUAACCUCAUCUCCGCUGGGCACAGAGACGGCUUCUCAGAAGAAGCGAUAUCUACACAAAGUCCUAAAGACCAAGGGGUCAGGCACAGCACUGAGUGCUGGAGAUGCAAGAAUCCAUCCAACCAACGCAGGCAGAUGGCAACAAGUGCCAGGAGGAAC